UUUGUUAGUGUAAAGUAUAUCACGGGGGUGUCAUGAGACGUAUUCCAGACAAACAUUACAUAAUGGCAGCAUAGACUAUAUUGAUUAUGUUAGUGUGAACACGUUGAAUCUUCAGGAGUUUAAAGUGAUGGCGGAGAUUUGCGGAUAUGAAUCUGAUUCAAUAACCUUUUGGUACAAGUGUGGAAAGUAUGGUCGAAGAUGGAGAUUGAUUUCUACCUAUUUAUAAGCUUAUGCAGUUAGCAAAAGUCUUCGAAAAGAGGAUGUGAAUGAGAUUUACUUCGAACACUUGGACUCUUAUUUUAAAAUGGACAAUGGGGAUAUACCAAAUCAAGAAGUCAUUGAAGAUAAUGACAAGGAACAAUUUACACAUGAAAAUUCAUCUGUGAUGAUUUUUGUAAUUUAGAGGCUGAUUUAUCCGACGACGAGUUAGUCAAUGACCAUGAAAAGAUAAAAUAGAGUAUUCUGGGUGAAAUAGAGCCGAUUAGUGUUGAAGUAAAGAAAAAGAUGGCAGCAAUAGAGGGAGAUUCUGAUUGUUGUGAUUCUAGUGACACAAGAAGUUUGCAUAGUGAUUCUGAAACUGAGAGCUACGAUUAUCCUCAAUUCAAUCCUAAGAGUGAUGGAGAUGAUCCCAUUUAUGCUCUAGAGUUGACUUUUGGAAGCAAAAGAGAGUUCAAGGAUGCUGUAGCAACACAUGAGAUAAAAAAGGAAAGUAUAUCAAGUGGAACAAGAAUGACAAAGAAUUAAUCAGGGCAAAAUGUAUACAUGAAAAGUGCAAAUGGAAAAUUAUGGCAUCCAAAAUGCUAUGGGACAAAUCAUUCCAGAUAAAAACAUACGAUCCUACACAUACUUGCAAGGAGAGGCACCAUGAAAAUAGAACAAUCACAUCAUCCUUCAUUGCGAGAAAAUACCUGAAUGAAAUUGGAUCAAAUAGAAAUGAUAGCUUGGCUGAUUUUAGAGAUAGAGUGAAUGUUGAUCUAAGAGCUAAAGUGACUUUAUCACAAGUUAAAAGAACAAAGAAUAAGGCCAUUUCGAUUCUAGAUGGUGAUAUCAAAGAUCAAUUCAAAAUGAUGUGGGACUAUUGCAAUGAAAUGGAUAGGACAAAUCCAGAAAGUACUAUUCAUAUGAAGUUUACUGAUAAUGAGGUGCCGGGACAACCAUACAGGUUUCAGAGAAUAUACAUUUGUUUUGCUGCUUGCAAGUUCGGCUUCAAGGCUGGUUGUAGAAAAGUAAUUGGAGUGGAUGGUUUUUGGUUGAAGGGUCCUAUGUACGGAACUCAAUUGUUAUCUGCAGUUGAAAUUGAUGGUACAAUAAUAUAUUUCCCAUUUGCCACGCCAUUGUUGAGAAAGAAAAUAAAGAGACAUGGACUUAGUUCUUGACUUAUUUGGCUAGCGAUUUGGAUAUACAUGAGGAUGAGGCUAGUUGGACCUUUAUGUCCGACAAACAAAAAGGUCUCAUUGAAGCUUUUACCAUAUGUUAGUCAUAUAUUUUGUGUGUUACACCUUCAUAACAACUUUAAAAGAGCAGGUCUCGGUAGGUUCUCAUUAAAAGGGCACUCUGGGCUGCUGCAAAGGCUACUACUGUGCAACAAUUUAUUGUAUGCAUGAAUCAUAUGUUUGAGUUAGAUCCAAAUGAUGCUGUUUGGUGUAAUGAAAAAGAACCUAGUCAAUGGACAAUGGCUUAUUUCUCCUCAAAUGCUCAAUCUGACAUGUUAUCGAAUAAUGUGUGUGAAGUAUACAAUAGCAUGAUACUCGAUACUAGAGACAAGCCAAUUUUGACACUUUUGGAGAAAUUGAGCUAUCUACUCAUGGCCAGAAUGCCAGCUAACCGGGAGAAAGCAGAACAAUGGAAUCUAGGUGAUGUUUGUCCCAAGAUUGAAGAUAUAUUGCUUAAAAAUCAAAAGGCAGCCGGAGAAUAUAUUCCUAGAAAGUCAAAUAAAUGGAACUAUGAAAUUAUAGGAGCUAGUAUCAUGGAUAAUUGGGAAGUGGAUUUGGAGAAGAGAACAUGUAGUUGUAGAAAAUGGAGUCUCACUGGAAUCCCUGCAAGCACGCAAUUGCAACUAUUUGGGCUAAUCGAGAAGACAUUCUUGAUCAUGUCCAUGAUUCCUACAAGGUGGAAACAUACAGAAAAAUAUAUGAGAAUGCAAUUAUUCCGAUGAAUGGCCCGCAAAUAUGGCCAAAAUCUAACAAACUCCCCCCCUUGCCUCCAAGGAGCUUGACAAGUAUAAAGAGAGGAAGAAAGCAGAAGAAGAGAAGAAAAGAAGCUGAUGAAGUAGGAGCAAGUCGGACAACGAUGAAAAGGAAACAUAAAUCUCUGGAUUGUAGUACUUGCCACAAGACUGGUCACAACAAAAGGACUUGCAAAACUAAAGAUGUGCAGCCUGAAACUACUACUUCUGUUCGUGAUAAACUACCUGUUAGACGGAGAUGUUUAGAAGUUCAACAACAAAAUAUGAAACAGAGAGAAGUAGGACAAGGAGAAGAAAUGAAAUCGUAUUGGGAAAAUUCACAACAAACCCAACAAAGUGGAGUUACAUUAUAAAUAAUACAACUUUUUUUGGUUUCUGCGCAAACCUGGUGAUGUUUGGUGCAUUUUGGAGUCUAUUUUUGGAGCUUUUCUUGUGCAGCUUUGGAGUCUAUUUUUGGAGCUUUUCUCGUGCAGCUUUGGAGUCUAUUUUUGGAGCUUUUCUCGUGCAGUUUUGGAGUCUGUUUUCGGAGCUUAUCUUGUGCCUUUUGGAGAUGUUUAGCUGCUGUUAUGGUGAUUUUUCAUUGCUGUUUUUGGUGCAGUUCUGGUGCAGUUUUAGUGCUUUCUGGUGGUGGUGUUGAAGCCAGUUUAAUGUCGAUUUAGAGGCUAUUGUUAUCGAUAAAAAUAUAUAUAAGAAGAUUAAAAUUAUAUAAAUAUAUAUGGUAA